rnacentral:rRNA from 1 species
UGCACGCAAGUGCGAUAAGGGGACCCCAAGUGCGAGGGCAUAUAGUCCUCGCUUUUCACGACUGUAAGGCGGUCGUGGAAUAAGAGCUGGGCAAGACCGGUGCCAGCCGCCGCGGUAAUACCGGCAGCUCAAGUGAUGACCGAUAUUAUUGGGCCUAAAGCGUCCGUAGCCGGCCACGAAGGUUCAUCGGGAAAUCCGCCAGCUCAACUGGCGGGCGUCCGGUGAAAACCACGUGGCUUGGGACCGGAAGGCUCGAGGGGUACGUCCGGGGUAGGAGUGAAAUCCCGUAAUCCUGGACGGACCACCGAUGGCGAAAGCACCUCGAGAAGACGGAUCCGACGGUGAGGGACGAAAGCUAGGGUCUCGAACCGGAUUAGAUACCCGGGUAGUCCUAGCUGUAAACGAUGCUCGCUAGGUGUGACACAGGCUACGAGCCUGUGUUGUGCCGUAGGGAAGCCGAGAAGCGAGCCGCCUGGGAAGUACGUCCGCAAGGAUGAAACUUAAAGGAAUUGGCGGGGGAGCACUACAACCGGAGGAGCCUGCGGUUUAAUUGGACUCAACGCCGGACAUCUCACCAGCUCCGACUACAGUGAUGACGAUCAGGUUGAUGACCUUAUCACGACGCUGUAGAGAGGAGGUGCAUGGCCGCCGUCAGCUCGUACCGUGAGGCGUCCUGUUAAGUCAGGCAACGAGCGAGACCCGCACUUCUAAUUGCCAGCAGCAGUUUCGACUGGCUGGGUACAUUAGAAGGACUGCCGCUGCUAAAGCGGAGGAAGGAACGGGCAACGGUAGGUCAGUAUGCCCCGAAUGAGCUGGGCUACACGCGGGCUACAAUGGUCGAGACAAUGGGUUGCUAUCUCGAAAGAGAACGCUAAUCUCCUAAACUCGAUCGUAGUUCGGAUUGAGGGCUGAAACUCGCCCUCAUGAAGCUGGAUUCGGUAGUAAUCGCAUUUCAAUAGAGUGCGGUGAAUACGUCCCUGCUCCUUGCACACACCGCCCGUCAAAGCACCCGAGUGAGGUCCGGAUGAGGC